AUGUGUUCAGUGAUACUCCAUUCAGUUAUUCUGCUCUCUGCCUUAGCAUGUGCCAGUAAUGGAGAUAAUAUUAUGCCAGACAAAACUGAGGAGUUUGCUCUAGAGGGUUCAAAUGUUACAUUAUCCUGUAGUUAUUCCUCAGCAGAUUAUCUUCAAUGGUACCGUCAGUAUCCCAGAUCAGCUCCUGAAUUCCUUGUGGUCAUCACAGAUGGUGUGGAAAAACCUCAGAAGUCUAUUGUAGAUCCUAGAUUCAGUGCAAAACUCACCAAAAAGAAAACCCAAGUGCAUCUGGAAAUCUCCUCUGCUGCAGAAAGAGACUCUGCACUGUACUUCUGUGCCCUGCAGCCCACAGCGACAGGAAACACAACAACGCUGUACAAAAACAUGAUUCUGCUCAGGCUGAGGAAACAAUGA